CCUCCUUUUCUUGGCGGGGCCCGGGCGUGCGGGCCUGGCCCCUGUUGUGUACGGAGGCAGAGGGAGAGGGCUCCGGCCCCCUUGGUGUCGUAUCUUCGUCCACCGGCCCUAUCCUCAAUCUGCGGGACACAG
rnacentral:snoRNA from 1 species